AGCGAACGCUGGCGGCAGGCCUAACACAUGCAAGUCGAACGGAUCCUUCGGGAUUAGUGGCGGACGGGUGAGUAACACGUGGGAACGUGCCUUUUGGUUCGGAACAACUCAGGGAAACUUGAGCUAAUACCGGAUGUGCCCUUCGGGGAAGGAUUAUCGCCAUUAGAGCGGCCCGCGUCUGAUUAGCUAGUUGGUGAGGUAAAGGCUCACCAAGGCGACGAUCAGUAGCUGGUCUGAGAGGAUGAUCAGCCACAUUGGGACUGAGACACGGCCCAAACUCCUACGGGAGGCAGCAGUGGGGAAUCUUGCGCAAUGGGCGAAAGCCUGACGCAGCCAUGCCGCGUGAAUGAUGAAGGUCCUCUGGAUUGUAAACUUUCUUUUAUUUGGGAAGAAACCCACGUUUCUAAUGUGGUUGACGUACCAGAUGAAUAAGCACCGGCUAACUCCGUGCCAGCAGCCG
rnacentral:rRNA from 1 species